CUGAUGCAGCCAUGCCGCGUGURUGAAGAAGGCCUUCGGGUUGUAAAGUACUUUCAGUYGUGAGGAAGGUGGUGUGGUUAAUAGAUGCAUYWCUUGACGUUAGCRACAGAAGAAGCACCGGCUAACUCCGUGCCAGCAGCCGCGGUAA
rnacentral:rRNA from 1 species